AGAGUUUGAUCAUGGCUCAGAUUGAACGCUGGCGGCAGGCCUAACACAUGCAAGUCGAGCGGUAGCACAGAGAGCUUGCUCUCGGGUGACGAGCGGCGGACGGGUGAGUAAUGUCUGGGAAACUGCCUGAUGGAGGGGGAUAACUACUGGAAACGGUAGCUAAUACCGCAUAACGUCGCAAGACCAAAGUGGGGGACCUUCGGGCCUCAUGCCAUCAGAUGUGCCCAGAUGGGAUUAGCUAGUAGGUGGGGUAACGGCUCACCUAGGCGACGAUCCCUAGCUGGUCUGAGAGGAUGACCAGCCACACUGGAACUGAGACACGGUCCAGACUCCUACGGGAGGCAGCAGUGGGGAAUAUUGCACAAUGGGCGCAAGCCUGAUGCAGCCAUGCCGCGUGUGUGAAGAAGGCCUUCGGGUUGUAAAGCACUUUCAGCGGGGAGGAAGGCGNNNNNNNNNCGAUUGACGUUACCCGCAGAAGAAGCACCGGCUAACUCCGUGCCAGCAGCCGCGGUAAUACGGAGGGUGCAAGCGUUAAUCGGAAUUACUGGGCGUAAAGCGCACGCAGGCGGUCUGUCAAGUCGGAUGUGAAAUCCCCGGGCUCAACCUGGGAACUGCAUUCGAAACUGGCAGGCUAGAGUCUUGUAGAGGGGGGUAGAAUUCCAGGUGUAGCGGUGAAAUGCGUAGAGAUCUGGAGGAAUACCGGUGGCGAAGGCGGCCCCCUGGACAAAGACUGACGCUCAGGUGCGAAAGCGUGGGGAGCAAACAGGAUUAGAUACCCUGGUAGUCCACGCCGUAAACGAUGUCGAUUUGGAGGUUGUGCCCUUGAGGCGUGGCUUCCGGAGCUAACGCGUUAAAUCGACCGCCUGGGGAGUACGGCCGCAAGGUUAAAACUCAAAUGAAUUGACGGGGGCCCGCACAAGCGGUGGAGCAUGUGGUUUAAUUCGAUGCAACGCGAAGAACCUUACCUGGUCUUGACAUCCACAGAACUUNUUGGUGCCUUCGGGAACUGUGAGACAGGUGCUGCAUGGCUGUCGUCAGCUCGUGUUGUGAAAUGUUGGGUUAAGUCCCGCAACGAGCGCAACCCUUAUCCUUUGUUGCCAGCGGUUAGGCCGGGAACUCAAAGGAGACUGCCAGUGAUAAACUGGAGGAAGGUGGGGAUGACGUCAAGUCAUCAUGGCCCUUACGACCAGGGCUACACACGUGCUACAAUGGCAUAUACAAAGAGAAGCGACCUCGCGAGAGCAAGCGGACCUCAUAAAGUAUGUCGUAGUCCGGAUUGGAGUCUGCAACUCGACUCCAUGAAGUCGGAAUCGCUAGUAAUCGUAGAUCAGAAUGCUACGGUGAAUACGUUCCCGGGCCUUGUACACACCGCCCGUCACACCAUGGGAGUGGGUUGCAAAAGAAGUAGGUAGCUUAACCUUCGGGAGGGCGCUUACCACUUUGUGAUUCAUGACUGGGGUGAAGUCGUAACAAGGUAACCGUAGGGGAACCUGCGGUUGGAUCACCU
rnacentral:rRNA from 1 species